CAAUAGCGUAUAUUAAAGUUGUUGCAGUUAAAAAGCUCGUAGUUGGAUUUCGGGGCAGCCUGGCUGGUCCGCCGCAAGGCGAGUACUGGUCAGCCGCCCUUCCUCUCGAAAGCCCCGACUGCUCUUCAUUGCAGUGGUCGGGUAGUUCGGGACGUUUACUUUGAAAAAAUUAGAGUGUUCAAGGCAGGCCUACGCCUGAAUACAUUAGCAUGGAAUAAUGGAAGAGGACCUCGGUCCUAUUUUGUUGGUUUCCAGGGCCGAAGUAAUGAUUAAGAGGGACAGUUGGGGGCAUUCGUAUCUAAUUGUCAGAGGUGAAAUUCUCGGAUUUAUGAAAGACGAACAACUGCGAAAGCAUUUGCCAAGGAUGUUUUCAUUAA
rnacentral:rRNA from 1 species